AGUGAACGCUGGCGGUAGGCCUAACACAUGCAAGUCGAACGGCAGCACAGUAAGAGCUUGCUCUUACGGGUGGCGAGUGGCGGACGGGUGAGGAAUACAUCGGAAUCUACUUUUUCGUGGGGGAUAACGUAGGGAAACUUACGCUAAUACCGCAUACGACCUACGGGUGAAAUCAGGGGAUCUUCGGACCUUGCGCGAUUGAAUGAGCCGAUGUCGGAUUAGCUAGUUGGCGGGGUAAAGGCCCACCAAGGCGACGAUCCGUAGCUGGUCUGAGAGGAUGAUCAGCCACACUGGAACUGAGACACGGUCCAGACUCCUACGGGAGGCAGCAGUGGGGAAUAUUGGACAAUGGGCGAAAGCCUGAUCCAGCCAUACCGCGUGGGUGAAGAAGGUCUUCGGGUUGUAAAGCCCUUUUGUUGGGAAAGAAAAGCAGCAGGUUAAUACCCCGCUGUUCUGACGGUACCCAAAGAAUAAGCACCGGCUAACUUCGUG
rnacentral:rRNA from 1 species